CAGAACAACAUUUAUAUUUCUUGUUGUAGCCUUGCAAUUAACCUCACACUGAUGCACAGACUCACUCUCAGCCUGUGUUCUCCCUCCAGGCCCUCACCCUGGUAACAGUGUUCACCCCAGCGGGCUCUGGGAGGUGUGAUGGUCAUGCUGAAAUGCUCGUCGGUUCUUACACUCAUCCCUAGGUGUUCAUACAGGCUGAAACAGGACGUUAAGAUUCGCUGGCUGCUCAUAAAAGUUACUUCUUUCUGAAGCCACAGUACAUUUUUUUAGAAUGAAGAGCACAGGACGAUUGUAUUCUGUGGUGUUUCCAGAGAUUUCUUUUUUUUACUCUGCUGGAGCUCCUUAAGAUAAAAAUGUGGGUUCUGCCUUCCUCAGAGAUGAGUGUUACACAUGCUUAGCUGGAGGAGCUCAGGCAUGCAGAACAUUUAGGCACACCACCACUCAUUGGAAGGGAAAUGCCUUCCCCUGCUUCGGAGCAUGGAUGUUGAAUAAGUAUCAUUCACUUAAUAUAGUCAGCUUGGGAAUUUGAUGUUUACCAUUAAAAUAAGCAGAAGCAAACCACUAUGUUUAAAAGCAUGAAAAGACUUUAUUGUGACUUACACUGCUUGGUACACACUGUGCAAAGUUUAGUACAGAGGCAGAGCACAGAUGCUUUCAGCCCUAAAUAUUU